UACGAAGGGGGCUAGCGUUGCUCGGAAUCACUGGGCGUAAAGCGCACGUAGGCGGACUCUUAAGUCAGGGGUGAAAUCCUGGAGCUCAACUCCAGAACUGCCUUUGAUACUGAGAGGCUUGAGUUCGGGAGAGGUGAGUGGAACUGCGAGUGUAGAGGUGAAAUUCGUAGAUAUUCGCAAGAACACCAGUGGCGAAGGCGGCUCACUGGACCGAUACUGACGCUGAGGUGCGAAAGCGUGGGGAGCAAACAGG
rnacentral:rRNA from 1 species